rnacentral:rRNA from 1 species
UACAUGCAGUGGACGCACUUCAUCUCACCGGAGCUUGCUCCACCGAGAAGAAGUGAGUCGCGAACGGGUGAGUAACGCGUAGGUAACCUGUCUCAUAGCGGGGGAUAACUAUUGGAAACGAUAGCUAAUACCGCAUAACAGUAACUAUCGCAUGAUGGAUGCUUGAAAGGUGCAAUUGCAUCACUAUGAGAUGGACCUGCGUUGUAUUAGCUAGUUGGUGAGGUAACGGCUCACCAAGGCGACGAUACAUAGCCGACCUGAGAGGGUGAACGGCCACACUGGGACUGAGACACGGCCCAGACUCCUACGGGAGGCAGCAGUAGGGAAUCUUCGGCAAUGGGGGGAACCCUGACCGAGCAACGCCGCGUGAGUGAAGAAGGUUUUCGGAUCGUAAAGCUCUGUUGUAAGAGAAGAAUGUUGUGUAGAGUGGAAAGUUACACAAGUGACGGUAUCUUACCAGAAAGGGACGGCUAACUACGUGCCAGCAGCCGCGGUAAUACGUAGGUCCCGAGCGUUGUCCGGAUUUAUUGGGCGUAAAGCGAGCGCAGGCGGUUUCGUAAGUCUGAAGUAAAAGGCAGUGGCUCAACCAUUGUAUGCUUUGGAAACUGCGAGACUUGAGUGCAGAAGGGGAGAGUGGAAUUCCAUGUGUAGCGGUGAAAUGCGUAGAUAUAUGGAGGAACACCGGUGGCGAAAGCGGCUCUCUGGUCUGUAACUGACGCUGAGGCUCGAAAGCGUGGGUAGCGAACAGGAUUAGAUACCCUGGUAGUCCACGCCGUAAACGAUGAGUGCUAGGUGUUAGGCCCUUUCCGGGGCUUAGUGCCGGAGCUAACGCAUUAAGCACUCCGCCUGGGGAGUACGGCCGCAAGGCUGAAACUCAAAGGAAUUGACGGGGGCCCGCACAAGCGGUGGAGCAUGUGGUUUAAUUCGAAGCAACGCGAAGAACCUUACCAGGUCUUGACAUCCCUCUGACCGGCCUAGAGAUAGGCUUUCUCUUCGGAGCAGAGGUGACAGGUGGUGCAUGGUUGUCGUCAGCUCGUGUCGUGAGAUGUUGGGUUAAGUCCCGCAACGAGCGCAACCCCUAUUGUUAGUUGCCAUCAUUGAGUUGGGCACUCUAGCGAGACUGCCGGUAAUAAACCGGAGGAAGGUGGGGAUGACGUCAAAUCAUCAUCCGCCUGGGGAGUACGACCGCAAGGUUGAAACUCAAAGGAAUUGACGCCCCUUAUGACCUGGGCUACACACGUGCUACAAUGGUCGGUACAACGAGUCGCAAGCUGGUGACAGUAAGCAAAUCUCUUAAAGCCGAUCUCAGUUCGGAUUGUAGGCUGCAACUCGCCUACAUGAAGUCGGAAUCGCUAGUAAUCGCGGAUCAGCACGCCGCGGUGAAUACGUUCCCGGGCCUUGUACACACCGCCCGUCACACCACGAGAGUUUGUAACACCCGAAGUCGGUGAGGUG